rnacentral:rRNA from 1 species
UAAUACGUAGGUGGCAAGCGUUGUCCGGAUUUACUGGGCGUAAAGAGCGCGCAGGCGGUUAUUCAAGUCGAAUGUGAAAGCCCCCGGCUUAACUGGGGAGGGUCAUUCGAUACUGUUUAACUUGAAGGCAGGAGAGGGUAGUGGAAUUCCCGGUGUAGUGGUGAAAUGCGUAGAUAUCGGGAGGAACACCAGUGGCGAAGGCGACUACCUGGCCUGUUCUUGACGCUGAGGCGCGAAAGCUGGGGGAGCAAACGGGAUUAGAUACCCCGGUAGUCCCAGCCGUAAACGAUGGACACUAGGUGUUGGUGGUAUCAACCCCGCCAGUGCCGUAGCUAACGCAUUAAGUGUCCCGCCUGGGGAGUACGGCCGCAAGGCUA